rnacentral:rRNA from 1 species
UACGGGGGGGCAAGCGUUGUUCGGAAUUACUGGGCGUAAAGGGCUCGUAGGCGGCCAACUAAGUCAGACGAUGAAAUCCCCGUCGGCUUAACCGGGGAACUGCGUCUGAUACUGGAUGGCUUGAGUUUGGGAGAGGGAUGCGGAAUUCCAGGUGUAGCGGUGAAAUGCGUAGAUAUCUGGAGGAACACCGGUGGCGAAGGCGGCAUCCUGGACCAACACUGACGCUGAGGAGCGAAAGCCAGGGGAGCAAACGGG